rnacentral:tRNA from 1 species
GGGCUAUUAGCGCAGGCAGGUAGCGCAGCAGGCUUUUAACAGGUAGGUCAGGGGUUCAAUUCCCCUAUAGCCCG